CCUCAGUCCGACAUUUUACCGUCUCACAUCCUCACAAGAAGAAGGGAGCUGAGAGAAAUUCUCUCCUGCUUGGUGCCUUGUGGUGGGAAGAAGCCCUGCAGAAACCCAGCAGUACCCUCAGCCACAUGAACGCUCAGUGCCCUGUUUAUACCAGCUGCCAUUUUGACAGUUGUUCUUAAAUGGAUCAAGAGAUAGAGACAGCCAGCGAGAGAGGGA